UACAUGGGGUGCAACCGUUGCUCGGAAUUAUUGGGCGUAAAGCGCACGUAGGCGGUUUGUUAAGUCGGAUGUGAAAUCCCUCGGCUCAACUGAGGAAGUGCAUCCGAAACUGGCAAGCUUGAGUACGAAAGAGGAUCGCGGAAUUCCCGGUGUAGAGGUGAAAUUCGUAGAUAUCGGGAGGAACACCGGUGGCGAAGGCGGCGAUCUGGGUCGAUACUGACGCUGAGGUGCGAAAGCGUGGGGAGCAAACAGG
rnacentral:rRNA from 1 species